CCUACGGGUGGCAGCAGUGAGGAAUAUUGGUCAAUGACCGAGAGGCUGAACCAGCCAAGUCGCGUGAGGGAAGACGGACCUACGUGUUGUAAACCUCUUUUGUCGGGGAGAAAAGCAAGUCACGUGUGACCCAUUGAGCGUAGCCGAAGAAAAAGCAUCGGCUAACUCCGUGACAGCAGCCGCGGUCAUACGCAGGAUGCGCGCGUUAUCCGGAUUUCUUGGGGUUAAAGGGUGCGCAGGCGGAGGUGCACGUCAGCGGUCAAAUUGCGGGGCUCAACCCCGUACUGCCGUGGAAACUGCAUGCCUUGAGUGCGCGAGAGGUAUGCGGAAUGCGUGGUGUAGCGGUGAAAUGCAUAGAUAUCACGCAGAACUCCGAUUGCGAAGGCAGCAUACUGGCGCGCAACUGACGUUCAGGCACGAAAGCGUGGGUAUCGAACAGGAUUAGAUACCCUUGUAGUC
rnacentral:rRNA from 1 species